rnacentral:lncRNA from 1 species
UUAGAGAUAACACAGACUUGAUUAGCCUUGAGGCAACUAACCCCAGGCCGUCUCCUUCAUUAUAUAUAGAGAAAGACAUUGCAUUGAUUACUCACUAGAGCAUAGCUAAUCAGAUAGGUGCCUUGGCAGCCGUACACACCUUUGGGCUGCCCAAGGUCUUUAAUGACUGUAAUUAACUAGCAUAGUUAUCUAGGAAAUGCUUAGGAAGCAGGGCUUAUUAACUACAUUUCUCCCCCUAAGACCUGCUUCAACUAAUCUUGAUCUCCUUGAUCCCAAUCCUGCUCCUCAUCUCCUCCAGCUUGGUUUUGCCCAAGGCUUUAGUCAGUAUAUCAGCGAGCUGAUCUGCAGUGGGAAUGAACUCUGUCUUGAUGCUACCUUCUUUCAUACAAUCUCUGAUGAAAUGAUGCUUGAUUCUAAUAUGCUUGCUCCUGUCAUGGAAAACAGGAUUCUUUGCCAAAGCCAGAGCAGACUUAUUGUCUACUCUGAGUUCCACCACUUCAACUUUUCUUCCCAACAAAUCUGCAAACAGUCUUGACAACCACAAAGCUUGGGUUGCAGCUGUUGUCAUCGCCACAUAUUCAGCCUCACAGCUAGACAGAGCAACAACUCUCUGUUUGACAGACUGCCAGCUGACCAGGCUGGUUCCAAGGAAGAACAAACAUCCAGUUGUGCUUUUGCUUGAAUCAACAUCUCCAGCCAAAUCUGAAUCACUGUAACCCACAAACCUUGCUUUGCCUGUUGUUCUGGUGUAGCAGAGCCCAUGAUCUAGAGUACCAGCCAGGUAUCUCAAGAUUCUCUUCACAGCCUGAAGAUGUUCAGUUGUUGGCUUCUCCAGAAAUCUGCUAACAUACCCUACAGCAAAAGCCAAAUUGGUCUUGUGUGCACUAGGUAUCUCAAGCUGCCAACCAGUCUUCUGUACUGAGUUGGAUUUACUUCCUUUGCUGUGCUUUCCUUGCUCAACUUCAGCCUUUCUUCCAUGGGUGUGGUGGCUGGAUUACAUCCUGCCAUACCACCAAGCUCAAGUAUCUUCUUAGCAUAAUGGGUUUGCUUCAGAGUGAUGCUCCCCUCAGAUUGUCUCACCUCAACUCCCAGAUAGAAAAACAGAAGACCCAAAUCAUUCAAAGGUUUGCUUCAUCUUUGCCUUGAAAGCUUCAAUCUUCUGCUGAUUGACUGCUGUGAUGAUCAAAUCAUCAACAUAGACUCCAAUUACCAGUAGGGAGUCACCUGAUCCCUUCCUGUACAUAGCAGCUUCAUACACAUUUUGCUCAAAACCCAUCUGCUUGAGAGUCAAGUCAAGCUUGGCAUUCCAUGCCCGAGGAGCCUGUCUUAGACCAUACAGGGCCUUGUGCAGCCUGUACACUUUCUUCUCCUCUCCUGAUACUACAAAACCUGGAGGCUGUGUAACAUAGACCUCCUUCUGGAGUUCUCCAUUCAAAAAUGCAGACUUCACAUCCAUGUGUACUGCCCAUCCCUCUUGUGCUGCUAGGGCAAGCAAAACACGCACUGAUUCCAUCCUUGCAACCGGUGCAAAAGCAUCUUCAUAAUUAACUCCUUCCUGCUGCACAAAACCACGGGCCACAAGUCUUGCCUUGUGCCUAAUUACAACUCCAUGUUCAUCCUUCUUCAGCUUAAACACCCAUUUCAGUGAAAUUGGACGGUGACCAGGACGGGGAGAAACAAGUUCCCAAGUCCCAUUCCGCUCUACUGAUCUCAGCUCCUCCUUCAUCGCUGCUUGCCAAUCUGGAUCAUCUUUGGCUUCUUCAUAGCUUGUAGGCUCACCAGAAUGGGUGAGAUUCAGUUUUGCAAACAGCCGCUGCGCCGGCGGAGGGGUUGGCUGAUCACCAAUAAUGUCAUGAAUCUUCCGAUAGCGGAGUUCUUCAUCGUCGUGGUAGGCAUCCACCCUUUCAUCAUCAUCCUCCAGGGGGGGUCACAUGCUCAACCUGAGGACUUGCUGGGGCUGGUGUAGGUGUUCUGGGCAUCACAGGCGCCUCUGUCUCUGCUGUGGGCUCCUCUGCUUCCGCUGCAGGCUCUCCUGCAUUCACCGGAGAGAAACCAGGCGAUGCAGGAUGUGGCGGAGGAGAUAGUGAAGGCGAUGUUGAACUUCCUGCUUCAGGGAGUUCCUCCGCCCAUGGGAAUUCAACAGUAAACUCACUGCCCGCUGCUUCUGGUGUGCCUGCUGCUGGUGAUGUCCAGUCCCAGCCGCGGCCUUCGUCUGAACACCACAUCACGGCUGACACGCACACGCUGGGACACUAGAUCAUAGAUACGGUAUGCCUUGGCCCCUUCCGCAUAGCUGAUAAACACGCCAGCCUCGCCGCGGUCAUCGAGCUUGCGAAGCUGAGUAAGCCGCCGGGUAUAAGCCACACAGCCAAAGACCUUGAGGUGGCUGACUGUUGGUGCCCGGUCGUGCCACGCUUCAUAAGGAGUGGCAUUCUUCAGCGCCUUCGUCGGGGAUUGAUUCAGAAUGUGCACAGCCGUCAUCACAGCCUCCCCCCAAAACCGAGAGGGCAUCUGGCGUUGCUUGAGUAAAGCUCGUGCCAUGGCCACCACUGUUUGGUUCCUGCGCUCAACAACACCGUUUUGUUGCGGUGAAUAAGGGGCACUGAAAUGCUGUUUAAUACCUUCAUCAGCGCAGUAUGCAGUAAACUCCGCGACGGUGAAUUCGCCGCCAUUGUCGGUGCGCAGGACCUUCAACUUGCGCCCGCUUUCCACCUCUGCUGCCACCUUGACCUUCUUAAUUGCUUCUGCUGCUGCGUCCUUGGAUGGCAGCAACACAGCCCACAUAAAGCGGGUGGUGUCAUCGACGAGCAGCAAGAUAUAGCGGUUGCCCGCUGAUGUCGCUGGCGUGACCGACCGCACAGGUCACCGUGCUCCAGCUCAAGCUGAUUCCUCUGCUUGGUGGUAACGCAGGUGUCACACACCUGCUCAACAUGGUCGACCACCGGCAUCCUGUGCGCCAUCUCCUCCUUGCUGAGUCGCCGGAGCGCGUCGAAGUGCAGAUGGCCGAAACGCUCGUGCCAUUGCCAUGCCUCUUCAUCCUUGCGCGCCGCAAGACAGAGAGGUUGUGCAGCCUCAAGAUGCAGAAUAUACAACCUAUUCUUCCCUCUGUGUACCUUGGCGAGCAGACGGCGGUUCUUGUCCCAAAUGCGAAGCACGCCAUCAUCAAUCACAACCUUGGACCCUCCUUCAUCAAGCUGUCCCAGACUUAGGAUAGAGUUCUUCAGCGCCGAAAUGAAAUAGACGCCAUGAAGAACCCUCUGCUCAUCGGUCUUGGCUUGGAAAACAAUAGACCUGACGCCCUUGAUCUCAACCUUCGACGCGUCCCCGAACCGGACCGUUCCUCGAACGCCAGUGUUCAGAUCAGCAAAGAACUCUUGGCGCCCGGUCAUGUGAUGCGUCGCACCGGAGUCCAGGUACCAGUCGCUGUCCACCUCUUCUUCGUCCACGCCGAGGUAGGCGCGAGCACGUGGCUCAGAGAGCUCGACGUGCUGCGCCGUGUAGCUGUGCGCCGGCAUGCUAUGUUCCAGGCUAAUGAAGCCAUGUGCCAGAAACAGAGCGCCAUCUUCAUCGCACUCGGCGUACUGGGCGCGCGCCUCAUGCCUUCCUUGGUUCCCGCCACGCUGCCCAGCCUGAUUUCCGCCGCCACAACCUCCACCACGGUUGCCACCACCGCGGCCAGCACGGUUUCCACCUCCACCGUCGCGCUCUGCAUCUUCACGGCGCGGCUGGGGACACUCACGUGCCCAGUGGCCCUCCUGGUUGCAGUUGAGGCAGGUGUUGGGGCCGACGCGGCCAGCAACAUUGCCAUCUCCUCGUCCGCCACCACGUCCACCGCCUCUGCCUCGUCCUCGUCCACCACCACGGCUACGUCCACCGCCACCGCGCUGGUUCCUGAAACCAGAACCGCCGGCACCAUCUCCCUUCUUCUCCUUCCUCCAGCGCGCUUUUCACUGCUCCUCGGUGUACAGCAGCUUGCCGUUGAUGGCCACCGGCUCGGUCAGCGCUUGUUCCUUGCGAUUAUCCACCGCCUUGAGCCUUCCAGUCACCUCCUCAAGAGUGAGUGCCUCAAAGUCGAGGAACUGCUCAAUGGCGACAACAAUCUGCGUGUACUUGGCUAGCACCGUGCGCAGAAACUUCACCACACGCUCCUCAGUGAUGUCCUUGUCACCAUGAAUGACAAGCUGCUGGUGCAGAAUUGACAGACACAUGGCGAAAUCUUCCACUUGCUCUCCCAAUCGCGCGUAGGCGCUGCAGCGUUGCUCGACGGACCUGGUCCACGCCGAUGCGAGUCGCAGCGAUGGCGUCCCACGCCUCCUUCGCCAUAGCCUUGUCGAGGAGUGGGAUGCCCAUCUCCUUGGGCACGGCCCCGACAAUCACCUCCAGUGCGCGCUUGUCAUCGCGAAACUGGACAGGGCCGCCCUUGAUGGCGUCCUAGAGAUCGCGCGCAUGCAUCCUCAGCUUCAUGGUCUGACUCCACUCGUAGUAGUUCGACUUGUCCAGCAUCGGCCACAACGUGCUGCUACCAGAGUCGCGGUACACCACUCUGCCUUGCGGUGAUUCGUAGCGACCACCGCCGCGGCCGCGCCUCCGGUCUUGCAGUGGUGACUGCGAGCGCCUCCUGUCCCGCAGUGGUGACUAUGAGCGCCUCCUGUCUCGUGACGGAGUCCGCAGCCCCCGAUUCCUGCUCUCCUCCUCUUCCUCCUCUUCAUCCUUUUCUUCUCCCUUCUCAGCAGCAAUUUCGGCCCGCAGCUCCUGCGCCGUCCUUGCAGCCGCCGCCUGCUUUGCUGCCUGGACUGCCAGCGCCGCUGCUUCCUCUGCAGCCUUCAAUCGCGCAGCCCGGCCGGAGGAGUCGCCCAGCUCUCCAUCGCCGGUUCCCUUGGCCUUGAGCCUGGCAGCGCGCUCAGCAGAGUCGACAUGGGGUGGAGAAGGUGAGGAGUUGGCCUCGUGGCUCUCUGGUGUCUAACCUAGCUCUGGUACCAAAUGUUAGAGAUAACACAGACUUGAUUAGCCUUGAGGCAACUAACCCCAGGCCGUCUCCUUCAUUAUAUAUAGAGAAAGACAUUGCAUUGAUUACAAACAGCUCACUAGAGCAUAGCUAAUCAGAUAGGCAGCCGUACACACCUUUGGGCUGCCCAAGGUCUUUAAUGACUGUAAUUAACUAGCAUAGUUAUCUAGGAAAUGCUUAGGAAGCAGGGCUUAUUAACUACACUAUGGGUGUGGCAAACUUAGGUUUAGGCGGCCUUGAUUCACGGCCAGUUGAACCAUGUGUACAGCCCCCACCCCCAAUGUGCAUGUUGGGUGGAGUGACAGUGGUGACUUUAAGGAUAGCCAAUGAUUCUAUUAAAAUGCAUGUUUACUGUGCACAAGAGGAUAAGUUAGGCCAACUACACCUUAAUUACUUGUGUUAGUAUAUACUUUAAAAGUUUAAUUUUUCUAACAUAACUAAAUAGGUCUCUGUCAUUGGUUUUCAAUUAGAGCUUAGAGGGAAGAGUUUAAGCUUGAAAUAAUCGAUAUGUUUUUCCUUUAAAAUGAUUUAUGAUCCUAUUCUCAUGCUGAUGAUUUAAUAAAGAUCAACCUUUACAUAAGUAGCAUGGUAGCCUUAUAUUAUUUUGCAUAGGGAAGCUACCUCUGCAUAUCAAUUUGUGGUCAGAUACUCAGAUGUAGUAUCUUUGUGCUAAGUAAAUCUGUCUGGGUAAAGAUAUUAAAUAAUGUUGUUAAGUUGUUUGGGUAAAGAUAUUAAA